GAUGAACGCUGGCGGCGUGCUUAACACAUGCCAGUCGAACGGAAAGGCCCUGCUUUUGUGGGGUGCUCGAGUGGCGAACGUAUGAGUAACACGUGAGUAACCUGCCCUGGACUAUGAGAUAACUUCAGGAAACUGGGGCUAAUACCGGAUAGGAGCUCCUGCUGCUUGGUGGUGGUUGGAAAGUUUCGGCGGUUGGGGAUGGACGCGCGGCUUAUCAGCUUGUUGGUGGGGUAGUGGCAUAGCAAGGCUUUGGCGGGUAGCCGGCCUGGGAGGGUGACCGGCCACACUAGGCCUGAGCUGCGACACAGACUAGUCCGGGACGCAGCGGAGGAGAGUAGUGUACAACAGACGGAAGGAUGAUGCAGCAGCGCAGCGUGGGGGAUGGCGGCAUGCGGGUUGUAAAGCAAUUUGGUCUGUGAAGAGGCGUGAGUGACGGUAACGGGUAAAGAAGCACCGGCUAACUACGUG
rnacentral:rRNA from 1 species